rnacentral:misc_RNA from 1 species
GGAGAUCACGCGCGCGGUGAUGCUGCGGCGUCUUCAUCGGAGGAGGAGGAAGACGAGAGCGAAAAGAAGCCAUUAAAGGAGAGGAAAAUCAACGUUGGAAAUGAUAGUGAAGCAGAGGACGAUAGUGAAAAUGAUCAUGGAAAUGAAGAUGAUAACGAUCAGGAGGAAAGGGAAGGAAAAGCUGAUGCCAAAGGGCAGGAAUCUGUACCAGGAACACCGACUGGUCAUCCAAAUGGGUUGCCUAUACCAGAUAAGAGGUCGCUCGAGUUGAUUCUAGACAAAAGAAGGACACAUAUGGCGUUUAUGCAGAACCGGUGGAUCUUGAAGAGCUUCCUGAUUAUCUUGAUGUAAUUGAGCAUCCAAUGGACUUUGCCACAGUGAGGAAG